ACUUGUGUUGUGACAGGAGAGGACAGGUACAGAGAGGAAUGUGCUGGUUCAUUGUCUGACUCAACUACACAUUCAGCUUGUGUGCUUUGAUUGGGCUUGCGUGUGAGUGUUUUUGGACGUCAUGUCAAAGAUAUUCGUUCCUGGUUAGAAGCAGUUACUCCAAAGGAAGUGGAAUCAUCAUUUCAGGGUAUUUUAGUUCUGGAUAAGUCUCAGUCAAAACAAAAGGUUGCCUGUGGAAAUCAACAGAGAAGUGCGGGACAGAUUGGGUCAAUCAACACUGAUUGCCAGUCACAUUUUAUGUGCAUUUGGCAGCCUUUAUAGGCGGGUAAACUCCAUGUUUCCGCUGAUUGCUGCUGUGGAGCUGCUGGCCAAAGAUUUUGUUUUGGCUGCAGAUGGAUGGUACUCUCUACUGAAUGAAAGAGAAUUUACAUGAGAGCAAAGGAUUGCGGAGGAUCCAAACACAGCCUGCGGGGCAUGUCUGCUUAGUGUUUGCACGUGCGACUGUUGUUGUGUCAAAGUCCAGCAGAUCUGUUCCCAGAUUGCUUGGCUGAGUCUGAGGCCUUGAAACCCACAGUGUUGCUGGCUGUUAAUCAGAGUUGCCUGGGACAUCAGGCGGCUGCUGUCAAGAUGCCCAGCCCUAGGCUCCAGGCAGCAAUAUUUAUCAUUUGCAACAGCGGGCUCCACUCCAUCACACUUCUCCAAUCCUCUAGCCAUCCACAUCCUCAAAACCCGUAAAUUGAGAGCUCAGUAAAUCAAGGCCACGUUCUGGAGGAGAUCAUGCACGCGAUGAUGUCAUUAUGUGAAGGGACUGGGAUUUCUGACAUGUGCGGCGGAAGCCUUCAAAUAUCAGAAGUGGCAUUUGAUCCUGGGAGCUAUCCUGUGCAGGGACAAUAAGCACAAGGAGGAAAACUUGGUGGUGAUGGUGAAUUGGAUCGUAGACUAUUGAGACACGCAGGGUGGUUUAGUAGUCUUGAGUUGAAAGGAUGUUAGUGUUUACCAGGCUUGUAGGGUCUCACUGAAGAAGUUAUCAAGUUGCAUUUAGAUAAUCAGUUUGGAUUCAAAACAGUUACAAUGAAAUCCAAAAGUGACCCAGAGUCACAUCCAAAGAAACCUCUCCUGCAGCAUAAUCUACAUCUCUGCCAUCAAACCUGUUUUCAUCUGUAUCUGUAACCUACAAACUCAACUUUCAAACCUACAGGAGGUAAAAAGAUUUUUAAUGGAGAAUUCCUCUAAUAUUCUUAAUAAAUUUCCGUGUUUGCCAUCCAAAAGACUUCCCGACUGCAGUCAGUGGGCCCACGGUCAUAUUACAACCUGUGCAAUUUCAUGCAAACGACUAAAUGAGAAACUACGUCCAAGAGUAGAGUGAGAGCUUGCGUGUCCACAUUUUGCCAUCUAAAUAAUGUAGCGGUCCGACUCAAAUGCGAUCAAAGUAAACAAAAACCAUCCAAGGGAGCUCAGUGAAAGUGCUCUGUGUCAAUUAUUGAUGCUGAAACGGGCCAAACACCUGCCUCUGCUGAACUGGACCCGCACCAGAUUUCACAUUAUAAACCAAGGAUUUGGCAGCAGCGAUGCAUCAACUCUCAAAACACUGAAGAAAUAAGGGGAGUGGCUGUUU